rnacentral:rRNA from 1 species
UACGUAGGUGGCAAGCGUUAUCCGGAAUUAUUGGGCGUAAAGAGCUCGUAGGCGGUUUGUCGCGUCUGCCGUGAAAGUCCGGGGCUCAACUCCGGAUCUGCGGUGGGUACGGGCAGACUAGAGUGGCGGUAGGGGAGAUUGGAAUUCCUGGUGUAGCGGUGGAAUGCGCAGAUAUCAGGAGGAACACCAAUGGCGAAGGCAGAUCUCUGGGCCGAUACUGACGCUGAGGAGCGAAAGCGUGGGGAGCAAACAGG